GGAGAUGUGCCGGAGUGGUUGAACGGGCUGGUCUCGAAAACCAGUUUCCGAGUUGCUCGGAACAGAGGUUCGAAUCCUCUCAUCUCCG
rnacentral:tRNA from 1 species